GUGGAUUAGAUACCCGGGUAGUCCACACUGUAAACGAUGAAUGCUAGGUGUAGGGGGUAUCGACCCCUUCUGUGCCGGAGUAAACACAAUAAGCAUUCCGCCUGGGGAGUACGGCCGCAAGGUUGAAACUCAAAGGAAUUGACGGGGGCCCGCACAAGCAGCGGAGCAUGUGGUUUAAUUCGAAGCAACGCGAAGAACCUUACCAGGUCUUGACAUCCAGUAAAAACUGUAGAGAUACAGUGUGAGCUUGCUCAUACUGAGACAGGUGGUGCAUGGUCGUCGACAGCU
rnacentral:rRNA from 1 species